rnacentral:rRNA from 1 species
UAGGGAAUCUUCGGCAAUGGGGGGAACCCUGACCGAGCAACGCCGCGUGAGUGAAGAAGGCUUUCGGAUCGUAAAGCCCUGUUGUUAAGGAAGAACGAGUGUGAGAAUGGAAAGUUCAUACUGUGACGGUACUUAACCAGAAAGGGACGGCUAACUACGUGCCAGCAGCCGCGGUAAUACGUAGGUCCCGAGCGUUGUCCGGAUUUAUUGGGCGUAAAGCGAGCGCAGGCGGUUAGAUAAGUCUGAAGUUAAAGGCAGUGGCUCAACAAUUGUAGGCUUUGGAAACUGUUUAACUUGAGUGCAGAGGGGAAGAGUGGAAUUCCAUGAGUAGCGGUGAAAUGCGUAGAUAUAUGGAAGAACACCGGUGGCGAAAGCGGAUCUCUGGACUGUAACUGACGCUGAGGCUCGACAGCGUGGGGAGCGAACAGG